GUGAUGCUGCUGGACCCGUGGGGCAGGGGGUGGUCUCAGCCCACGCUUCCUUUAAGAGUGUGAGCUGAAGGCAGCUCCGUCAUUUAAAGGUAUAGAUAUGCACUGUCCAUAAAACAUGCCCAGUAAGUGGAGGACAGUGCUGCUCAACUAAAGGGACAGCGGCUCUACCGGAGAUAAAACUGGCUGUUCAGUGCUUAAUGAGAGUUUCUCUCCAGAGCCAUGCCUUCUGAAUGGGUUUUCACAGGCUGACUUUAAAAUCCCACCCUGGUUAGGAUCGGAUUCUACUAUACAACAGAUAAAGCAGAGUGGCUCUGAUGAAGUGACCUGGGAGAAACUCCAAGAGCCUCCCCCUCCCUGAUGCAGCUUCCCCUGACUCUCUUCACCUCUCUAGAGACCAAGUCCUGGGCCAUCUGUUGAAUGCAGCCAGAAGAAUCCUGGAAGCCACAUGUUGAAGAAGACAGAGACACCUUGGGUCUGAUUCCUGGAAUCUCUGCAUGAAUUGCACCCAGGGAUGCAAGGUUUCUUCAAUGUAUGCAAAUCAAUCAAUGUGAUACACCAUAUUAACAAAUUGAAGAAUAAAAACCACAUGAUGAUCUCAAUAGAUGCAGAAAAGGCUUUUGACAAAAUUCAACACCAAUUUAUGAUUAAAAACUCUCCAGAAAGUGGGCAUAGAGGGAACCUACCUCAACAAAAUAAAGGCUAUAUAUGACAAACCCACAGCAAACAUCAUUCUCAAUGGUGAAAAACUGAAAGCAUUUCCUCUAAGAUCAGGAACAAGACAAGGGUGUCCACCUUUGCCACUAUUAUUCAACACAGUCUUGGAAGUCCUAGCCAUGGCAAUCAGAGAAGAAAAAGAAAUAAAAGGAAUCCACAUUGGAAAAGAAGAAGUAAAACUGUCACUGUUUGCAGAUGACAUGAUACUAUACAUAGGAAAUCCUAAAGAUGCCACCAGAAAACUACUAGAACUAAUCAAUAGAUUUAGUAAAGUUGCAGGAUACAAAACUAACACACAGAAAUCUUUUGCAUUCCUAUACACAAAUAAUGAAAGAUCAGAAAGCGAAAUUAAGAAAACAAUCACAUUUACCAUUGCAACAAAAAGAAUAAAAUACCUAGAAAUAAACCUACCUAAGGUGGCAAAAGACCCGUACACAGAAAACUAUAAAACACUGAUGAAAGAAAUCAAAGAUGACACAAACAGAUGGAGAGAUAUACCACGUUCUUGGAUUCGAAGAAUCAAUAUUAUGAAAAUGACUAUACUACCCAAAGCAAUCUACAGGUUCAGUGCAAUCCCUAUCAAAUUACCAAUGGCAUUUAUCACAGAACUAGAACAGAAAAUUUUACAAUUUGUAUAGAAACACAAAAGACCCCGAAUAGCCAAAGCCAUCUUGAAAAAUAAAAGCAGAGCUGGAAGAAUCAGGCUCCCUGACUUCAGACUAUACUACAAAGCUACAGUAAUCAUGACAGUAUGGUACUGGCACAAAAACAGAAAUAUAGACCAAUGGAACAGGAUAGAAAGCCCAGAGAUAAACCCACACACCUAUGGUCACCUAAUCUAUGACAAAGGAGGCAAGAAUAUACAAUGGAGAAAAGACAGCCUCUUCAAUAAGUGGUGCUGGGAAAACUGGACAGCAACAAUGUAAAAGAAUGAAAUUAGAAUUCCCUAACACCAUACACAAAAAUAAACUCAAAGUGGAUUAAAGACCUGAAUGUAAGGCCAGAUACUAUAAAAUUCUUAGAGGAAAACAUAGGCAGAACACUCUCUUGACAUAAAUCGCAGCAAGAUCUUCUUUGACCCACCUCCCAGAGAAAUGAAAAUAAAAACAAAAGUAAAAAAAUGGGACCUAAUGAAACUUCAAAGCUUUUGCACAGCAAAGGAAACCAUAAAUAAGAUGAAAAGACAACCCUCAGAAUGGGAGGAAAUAUUUGCAAAUGAAGCAACUGGCCAAGGAUUAAUAUCCAAAAUUUACAAGCAGCUCAUGCAGCUCAAUAUCAAAAAACAAACAACCCAAUCCAAAAAUGGGCAGAAGACCUAAAUAGACAUUUCUCCAAAGAAGACAUACAGAUGGCCAACAAACACAUGAAAAGAUGCUCAACAUCACUAAUCAUUAGAGAAAUGCAAAUCAAAACUACAAUGAGGUAUCACCUCACACCGGUCAGAAUGACCAUCACCAAAAAUAUCUACAAACAAAUGCUGGAGAGGAUGUGGAGCAAAGGCAACCCUCUUGCACUGUUGGUGGGAAAGAAAACUGAUAUAGCCACUAUUGAGAACAGUAUGGAGGUUCCUUAAAAAACUAAAAAUAGAACAACCAUAUCACCCAGCAUUCCCACUACUGGGCAUAUACCCAGAGAAAACCAUAAUUCAAAAAGACACAUGCACCUCAAUGUUCACUGCAGCACUAUUUACAAUAGCCAGGACAUGGAAGCAACCUAAAUGUCCAUCAACAGAGGAAUGGAUAAAGAAAAUGUGGUACAUAUAUACAAUGGAACACUACUCAGCCAUAAAAAGGAACGAAAUUGGGUCAUUUGUAGAGAUGUGGAUGGACUUAGAGACAGAGUGAAGUAGGUCAGAAAGAGAAAAGUAGAUAUCAUAUAUUAACACAUAUAUGUGGAAUCUAGAAAAAUGGUAUAGAUGAUCUUAUUUGCAAAGUAGAAAUAGAGACACAGCCAUAGAGAACAAAUGUAUGGAUACGAAGGGGGAA